AAGCCACUACGAAAAUACUGUUGACAAAGCACACAAUUAUACGAAUUCGGCGGUUGUUCGAUUGAAUUGACGAUCGUGUGAGUGAAUUUCGUUCAUUUAAAGGGAAUUAUGCAGAAUGAAAAACAAAAAAAUACACACACUUACGGUGAACGAGAGACACACAACACGAAAGAGAAAUAUUAAAUUACGCUUAAAUAGUUCUCGUUGUGGCAUUUAAACUUUUUUGUCGUUUCAAAUGUUUAAAUAUCCAAAAAAUUGAAACCCAAACGAGAAUCGAGAACUGGGAGUCAACAACGACGACGACGACGACGACACCAAUAAAAACAAAAGUGCCAACAAAACAUUCAAUAAUGGUGUGUAAUAGAAACCAAAUAAAAACGAAACGAGAAAAAAUUGACAAGAAACGAACAAAAAAAGCGAUCGAGAGUAAUUUAAAUAGCCGAUUACAUGAUGAGUUGUAUGCAGCAGCAGCAACAGCAGCACCGCGAUGAUUCGACAAGGAAUAAUUCAACCUAAUGCAAUGGCUAUAUGUGGCUCUGUGUUCACAGAUAAGGACAUUCACUCUAAGAAGAAGUUGAACGAAUGAAAAAAAAAAAAACGUUCUAGGUAGGCUACACAUAUACACAUAGGUAUAUACGUACCUAAUGCAAGAUGUCGUUGGAACCCGAAUUAACAAGAAGGAUCGACGACACGAGCAAUGACUUCAAUAAUAAAUGGAGAACGAAAUUAAAGAGGAGUCGCGUUUUAUUGUGCACACAAUAUUACAAUUUACAAGAGGAGGACGGCCAAGAAUAUGUACAUAGGAGAAUGAGCGAGAGUAACGUAACAACCACGACGACAACGACAGCUGCAAUUCAAUUCAAUUUUCUUUGUUUGGUAAGAUGAGGACGACGACAUCAACGACGGGACGAAAAA